rnacentral:lncRNA from 1 species
CCAUGUGGCACUUGACCAUUCGACAAAACAAAAGAAACCUCAAGCAAUUUCCAUACAACUUGCGCUCAUACGAAAUAAUAGUCAAGCUUAUAUAAUUUGUAUCAACAAAGCACUAGAUUCACUGAAUAAUUUGUAUCAAUAUUAUGUCACACCAUUGCCAACCCAUAUGCCAAGUGCAUAAAACCAAGCUCAGGUACGCAUCACUGUCCUACGGAGGUGUAUGCGGCACGUGAUGAUCGCUAUUGCGAAGAUAUGAUUUUGCAUAUUCACCCUCACCCGCUUCAACGUUCAAACUGAACUAAUGGUUACAGUUAUGAGUUAUGCAUAAGCCAAAGGCUUACUCGCUCUGUUGUGUGGAUUGACAGUGUCAAAGGCAGGGUGGCACGGUGCAAAGAUGGCAUUCCGGAGCAAGCUCGAAGAACAGUUUGUUUUAGUCUUCUCUGAUGGCUCCAAGUCCUACUAUUUGCAGUAUAAGAUAAUUAUUGGCUGGUGGCAUUGCACAAGAUACUUCAAGUUUCACUGGCACAAACUUUUGGAUGGCAUAUAUAUCUCCUCUCUAUCUCUCUCCAGAUUUUGCAUAAUGCAGAGAUUGGCAC